AUCACGUACGCCUGUAUGGAGUGUCCUAUAAAAGCCAGGCAGUUUCUGUAGUCUACACACAUCUGCAGUAUCCUCUCUAUACAGGAAAGUUUCAACGAUCUCUUCGUGGACACAAUGACGCCUCUACGUUUUACUGUUGUCUUCGUCCUCCUCUUUGGUGUAUUUGUCGCCAGUGAAGCUGCACCUGAAGGACACGAGCUUGAACGUCGUCAAGUUGCAGUCGACCUCUGCGCUUGUCUUCCGAUCGUUUCCGAUUCCGAUUGCCCUAGCAGAAGUUGCACAAAGGCGAGCGGAUGUAUGAAAUGCGCCGAUGCGUCGCUAUGCCUUUGUAUUGAUGUCGCUUGCACUGGGAACAGUUGCACAUCGGCAAGCAAGUGUAAGACAUGCUCCGUCCAAGGAUGAACAACGUGGCUGACCGGCAACCCUUAACAACGAAACGAUCAAUUGCACGUAUAUGAAAUAAGAGACCCUGGUCUUUUCUUUUACUAACAUGGUCAUAGGUGGCGGGAACUUUUGAGGGCAAUAAAUUGUACUAAGCAGCAGA